rnacentral:rRNA from 1 species
UACGUAGGGGGCAAGCGUUGUCCGGAAUCAUUGGGCGUAAAGCGCGUGUAGGCGGCUUGGUAAGUCUGCUCUGAAAGCUCGGGGCUCAACCCCGGGAGGCGGGUGGAUACUGUCAAGCUCGAGUCCGGAAGAGGAGUGUGGAAUUCCUGGUGUAGCGGUGAAAUGCGCAGAUAUCAGGAGGAACACCCAUGGCGAAGGCAGCACUCUGGGACGUGACUGACGCUGAGACGCGAAAGCGUGGGGAGCAAACAGG